GCUGCAGCGAAACAACCUGGAGCUAGAGAACAUCAAGGAUAAGAUCAAGGAAGUUCUUGCCUUGUUGGCAACAUUGUGAGAUCAUGACCAAGCAUGACAAGAAGGGAGGCUCGUCAACCACCUCCCAGCACACCUAUCAUGACCGAUGAUGAGACGUUGAAGGUUACGAGAGAUGAUGCUGGAGAGAUGCCCU